CAUGAAAUGGUGGGGGAAGAUGAGAGAUCUGGGACCUAAUUUGAGUAGAUCUUCUACAGCUAUUCAGAUGUCACUGCAGACGUUGGAGACUGAAACCAAGGGCUUUAAAGGUCAUGGGAUUCAUUUGCAUUCAAUUGGACUAAGCAGAAGCUCAUCAUAAAUUUGUGCAGCAAGAGAGCAGUGCAUGACUGGACAUGCAGCCCCGCAUUUUGCACAUAAAAGAAAAAACUCUGCAGAGGUAGUGGUUUCCAUCACCAAUUCAACGUCUGUUUUUCUCUCAGGUACAUCAAAAAUGUAGAUAAGCUCAACACUAGAUACUUACUAUGAAGAUACUUACUAUGAAGAUGAAGAGGUAUCUGGUGUUGCAUGUCCCCAGGCCCAGAUCAGAAAUAAUAUAAAUAAAAAAUUUUACUAGUUUCCUGACUUUCCAAUAAUAUUUAAAAAUUCAUAAGUUUAUGAAGAAAAAUCUAUCAGCAGUUCUAUGAAUAGUUGGUGAAAUGAACCCAAUGUAACAGACGACAAAAUAGACUCCUAUUACAGAUGUAAGGCUACCAAAUGGUUGAGUAAACUGACUUGGACAUCUGUGUUUGUAGAGUGCAGGGUCAAAGAUGGAUCUGAUGAUGACACUUCAGAAUUGAAAUUAAAAUAUUAAAAUAGGCAUUUGUUAUUAAUUCUAAUGUGUACAAAAGGAACUGACUCCAAUAAACUGUUACGCUAUUGUUUGUCAUCUACCACAAUGUCAAGAAUGUGUCUGGGACACAGACCAAAAAGUCAGAGAAGAUGCUUAACUGAGAAAGCUCUGGGACAAAACUGUAUUUUUAAAGUUCAUAAUCUUCUCACAAGACAGAAAAAUGGAUGGACUCCUCAAAUAAUGAAAUAUCUACUUGUUCAGACUGAUUAGUUAAAUUUGAAGGCACUUCAAAAUUACUGGGUUUUUUUGGCCAAUUUUCCAGCAUUUAGCCAAAUAACAGGAUAUCUAUUGAAAAAAAAAAACAAAAACGCUGAUGUUGAGAAUUUAACUAACUUUGCAAACAGAAGAUGAAGACGGUGUUUGUGAUGUGUUAGCAGAAACCAACAUAGCAAAGAAUGCAGUAUGCAGUCAUCAUGUAAUAUGUACUACAUUAAUUUGCCAUCACCAGAAAAUGACCUGCAUAGCUGACACCACUUCUUCGGUUACCAAGAUUUACAAGUUUUAAUAGAGUUCACAGAUAGUAUGUGCCAGAUAAAAGGCCUGGCAAAAUGGGAAUUUUUUGUUAUCCUUGGCUGGAAUAUUGCUCUGUCUAUAAGGCACAGAACUGGGACUGAAGCAAUGGAUUAAUUUUCACCCUCUCUUAUGUUCACCGUAAUAGUUAAAGGGAGACUUUAUACUCUCCUUGGGCUUGUUUUCUCAUUUAUGACAUGAGAAAAAAUAUUCUAAUACUACCAGGACUGACAGGAGGUUAAACCAAUAUUGGUAAAGAAGAUUGAGUUGCAAAAGGUAAAUGCAGUGUAUUACUAUCAUUCCACAAACAGAAAAUCUUCAGAGCUAUGAAAUAUUUUUGCAUGCUCCUCUCUCUCACAUCCUGCCAAGCCAUACUUCCUGACAUUGUUAGAUUUCCAGUGUUGAAGAAUACUCCUUCACUCCUCAGUGAGGUGAGCUCAAGGAGCAAGGGCUGGAAGUAGUUUUAUGAUCUUAUAAGAAAAUUUAUGGAAAAUCCUUCUCCUAGAGCUCCAAGGAAUUGUAGAAAAUAAUAUAAUCUUGCUAGCCUGGAUAUUCUACUGAUAUAAAAUAAAUUCUGUUUUUAAUAAUUUAUUUUUAAUGUAGUCAUCUAAGUAUACACACAUUCCUCCCCAGUCAAGAAGUUUCUAAACCUAGGAGAUAAGACAAAGAAGAAUCAAUCUAUACUUAGUUUGUUUUCUUUCAGAGCUCUUUUGUUGAGCAUUUCCCAUGUUGGUCUAUAUUAAAAAACUGAGCUAGUUGAAGCUAAAAGAUCUCCCAGAGUUCAGGGAGGGGAAAAAAAUAAAUUUUGAGCCAAACAAAUUUGGAAAUCAACAAAUUUAAAAAAUAAGAGAAAAUCCUG
rnacentral:lncRNA from 1 species